AAAAAUAAUUUUUGUGCCUUGUUGAAUGUUGUGACGGAUGUUGUCUCUUUUAAUUUUGCAACCGUUUCAUCUUCUUUAGACCGUGAAUGGUGAAUAUGUUUAUAGAUUAUUGCAAGUUUGCCACCAACUCGUGAAAGUCAGCGAAUUAAUCGUUCGGGGAUUGUAAUAGCAUCAGGAACUGGAAAACGACGAUGUUGUAGUUUUCUUACAUUGCUAGUUUUCUACGAUGGGAUACCGAGCGUCUGUUCUUCGCAAGUCCAGGCCUGAUGCCAACACGAGCCGCGUCGAACAAUUAAUGGAUUUGGACAGCGGAGACACUGCGCAUCAUCCGCUGCCGGAGCUGGAACUGCGGAAUGCUCCGUCGCCUGUGCGCUCUUGGGACUGUUCGACACCAGCUGCAACACCAUCUUCCUCCAGUUCACGUUCUAAUACGUUGUCGGAAACGGAUGCGCGUCAAUCGAUUACGGAUUUCUCCAGAUUGCCGAUACACUGUACUCCUGCCGCUGACGAUGACGCCGAUGAUUUACCGGGCGGACCGUGCGGCCAUUUUCCCGUGUCGACACAAACCCCGGCUUCCCACGCGGUGGUACGAUUCUCUGACUUGCGCAGCCGUAAUUCUCCCUCCAGCAUUCCGAAUUUACUCCCCAUUCCGCAUAUAUUCCGCCGUACAUUGACCGAUACUGGGAUCUCAUGAAGGCCAGAAGCAUCAUUCUGCAGAAAGCAGCCGCAUCCGUACGCUUUGCCGGUGAUAUGGUGUAUGGUGAGGCAUCUACACGCAAUUCCCAACUCAUGAUAUCCGCGUUAAGAGAUGGUCUUAUACCCCAUCAGCCCCAAGCAACUCCAUCGCGAAUUCUCAGGUUAUUUGGAGUAUCACUGCAAAUCGACGUGGAGCGCCUAACACAUUUGGCCUUUAUGCUUCCGGGGUUUCAUGACUUCGCUCCUGAGGAUCAAAAGUCCUGCUCACUGACAAAUAUUUGGUUCACCAGUCGUUCUCUGUAGAUACUCAACUCCCGAUUCUUCUACAAAGGUGAAUACUACAUGUACAUGAACGGUCCAGACGGGAUCCAUCUGUGCCAGGCGAUGGCGGAUCUGAUGGGCUUCCCCCCGGAUUUUAUGCGCUUUAUCGGGGCAUUUCAAGAGAAAGUCAAUGAUAUUGGUCUUACACUAACGGAAACCUACUUGCUAUCAGCAGCAGCAAUUUUCACACCAGAUAUUGAGAAUGUGAGCAACAGAGCGUUAGUGGCGGCUCAGCAUGCAUUUUAUUUGGACGCGUUAUUCUAUCAAUUCGGACACCGUCUGAACAUCGCCGAUCGUGCCAUUGCCAGCGCGAAAGUGGAGCGAGUGGUGCAGCUGUUUUCCGUCCUGGACAGAGUCUCCGCGGAGUAUGUUCGGAAUCUGGAUUUAUCCACACUUCCGGUGAGAUCGCGGUGUAUUUUGUUUGCUGAAUCGGGAAGUGGCUGAAUUCCUGUUGAAGUUCCGAUACAGAUUCCUAAAGUGUAUACAGUAUUUUUUUAAAACGAGUGUUGCAGUUGGAGGCAACAUUUGUUGUAUUGUGAUUUAUCGUUUGUGGUUCAUUUUGAACUGUGAAUCUCUUCUUGAGUUUGACUGCUGAUUCUUUUAUUCUGCCAGGAUUACUUUGUAGCAGGGAAUUUCGGACUGUUAUAAAUUUAUGUAUUGUCG